rnacentral:lncRNA from 1 species
AACCUACAAACCAAACGUCGUCAUAUUCAUUUAAAACAACUAAUAUACUUUGUGCGACUCAAUUAUCAAAUGUAUAUAAAUAAGCUCGCAAUAUUAAUGUUCCUAUUAUCCAUUUGAAUUUAAGUAAAUUCUUUUUUUUGUCAAAUAAUUUUUGAUUUUCUUCUGAUAUAGGGCGUGAAUUGCCUACUUCUGAAUGUCUUUAAACAUUUUACAUUUUUUUAGACUGCAUAUGCAAGUGCUAUUAAACCAUAUUUUCUGCUCAAGUUGACUGUUAUAUCUUGCUCAUUGAAUAUUAAAUAUGUGAAAGAAAAUGUA